UAUAUGUUCAAUGUUCUAUGUUUCUUUCCCCCGAGGCUGCUUUUCUGAACUCGAACCACUGCUGCAGCCCUUACAGCUGAGCCUGGCCCAUACAGACUGCCAGAUCCUGACAGUGACCCAAAGUCUCCAAAGAAGAUUACGAGGCACCUCAGUUCCUGCACCUGGACCAGUGAGCGAGAUGCUCAGAUGUGAAACCUGCCGCCUGCCAGAACCUGGCCGAGAAUGUGGACAAAGCUGCUGGACACUGGAAAAUUGAUUGCACCCCUUUGCCUAGACAAAACAAGGUCAGUCUUUUCCAUGUCCCUCUUCCACAGAGAGGAAAAAAAACUCUCACAGUAUAGGCCUGGCGAAGAUUGCUGUUCUUUGAGACACCUGCCUCCAGCGGUAAUGGAG
rnacentral:lncRNA from 1 species